GGGUCAGUAGGUUGGUCGUGCCACCGGUACGUACUGGUCUCACUGAUUCCUCCUUCCUGAAGAACCGUAAUGCCAUUAAUUUGGUGUUGCGGGGAAACAGGACUGUUACUUUGAAAAAAUUAGAGUGUUUAAAGCAAGCUAACGCUUGAAUACAUUAGCAUGGAAUAAUGAAAGAGGACGAUCGAUCGUAUUUUGUUGGUUUCUAGGAUUGACGUA
rnacentral:rRNA from 1 species